rnacentral:rRNA from 1 species
UGCAGUCGAACGGCAGCACGGGUGCUUGCACCUGGUGGCGAGUGGCGAACGGGUGAGUAAUACAUCGGAACAUGUCCUGUAGUGGGGGAUAGCCCGGCGAAAGCCGGAUUAAUACCGCAUACGAUCCACGGAUGAAAGCGGGGGACCUUCGGGCCUCGCGCUAUAGGGUUGGCCGAUGGCUGAUUAGCUAGUUGGUGGGGUAAAGGCCUACCAAGGCGACGAUCAGUAGCUGGUCUGAGAGGACGACCAGCCACACUGGGACUGAGACACGGCCCAGACUCCUACGGGAGGCAGCAGUGGGGAAUUUUGGACAAUGGGCGAAAGCCUGAUCCAGCAAUGCCGCGUGUGUGAAGAAGGCCUUCGGGUUGUAAAGCACUUUUGUCCGGAAAGAAAUCCUUGGCUCUAAUACAGUCGGGGGAUGACGGUACCGGAAGAAUAAGCACCGGCUAACUACGUGCCAGCAGCCGCGGUAAUACGUAGGGUGCGAGCGUUAAUCGGAAUUACUGGGCGUAAAGCGUGCGCAGGCGGUCUGUUAAGACAGAUGUGAAAUCCCCGGGCUCAACCUGGGAACUGCAUUUGUGACUGGCAGGCUAGAGUAUGGCAGAGGGGGGUAGAAUUCCACGUGUAGCAGUGAAAUGCGUAGAGAUGUGGAGGAAUACCGAUGGCGAAGGCAGCCCCCUGGGCCAAUACUGACGCUCAUGCACGAAAGCGUGGGGAGCAAACAGGAUUAGAUACCCUGGUAGUCCACGCCCUAAACGAUGUCAACUAGUUGUUGGGGAUUCAUUUCCUUAGUAACGUAGCUAACGCGUGAAGUUGACCGCCUGGGGAGUACGGUCGCAAGAUUAAAACUCAAAGGAAUUGACGGGGACCCGCACAAGCGGUGGAUGAAUGUGGAUUAAUUCGAUGCAACGCGAAAAACCUUACCUACCCUUGACAUGGUCGGAAUCCUGAAGAGAUUCGGGAGUGCUCGAAAGAGAACCGGCGCACAGGUGCUGCAUGGCUGUCGUCAGCUCGUGUC